UUUCUUUGCUGGCGACCGGCGCACGGGUGAGUAACACGUAUCCAACCUGCCUUUACUCGGGGAUAGCCUUUCGAAAGAAAGAUUAAUACCCGAUAGCAUAAUGAUUCCGCAUGGUUUCAUUAUUAAAGGAUUCCGGUAAAGGAUGGGGAUGCGUUCCAUUAGGUUGUUGGUGAGGUAACGGCUCGCCAAGCCUUCGAUGGAUAGGGGUUCUGAGAGGAAGGUCCCCCACAUUGGAACUGAGACACGGUCCAA
rnacentral:rRNA from 1 species